GUACUUUUACAGUUCAUAACUAUGAUCAUUGGGUUUUCACACUUGUGAGAUGUGCCUCCCUUAAACCUCAUUAUGACGUCAACCCAUUUCCUGUCUAAUA